CUCACCUCAUGUUCCGCUGACGUCGUCAGCGACAUGCCAGGCAGCUCCGGUCUUCAAGACUGCCCACGGUUACCCGUGCGACCGACCCGUUCGCCCCGCAUCCCUCGUGCGAACACCCACCAGCUUACUGGUGGUGGAUGC
rnacentral:ncRNA from 1 species